UUAAAUUGAAGAGUUUGAUCAUGGCUCAGAUUGAACGCUGGCGGCAGGCCUAACACAUGCAAGUCGAGCGGUAGCACAGAGAGCUUGCUCUCGGGUGACGAGCGGCGGACGGGUGAGUAAUGU
rnacentral:rRNA from 1 species